AGUCAGCAAGCUUCCGUGGGGUUAGAAUUAGCCCUCACGCAGCAAAGGAGAGAGAUGCAGUGUUUAGAGUGAAAUGCUACUGACAUGCCAAGAACCAUUUUCUAUAGCUACAGGUGAAUUCAGAGGUGGACCUAAGGAAGAGGGACCAACUGUGGACACACAUUUAGAAUUUCUGACUCCCAGGAUUAUCCCUUUCUCAGUGCAGGGUACCACCACACUACCUCCUACCCACCACCUGAUCAAUCUAGGAGAGCAGAAGGGAGCCUCUAGGAUGGUUGGAAAAGAAAAACCGGAACUCUUUUUAGCAUAUUAACAUACGAAAGUUAAUGCUAAGUGGCCAAACUUAGCCCGUUCAGACUCCUGUUCUUAACUGACUCUGUGGGAAGGUCCCAGGAACAAACCAGUCAUGCACAGAAAAGCACUCAUGAAGACAGAACAGCUAUGUGGGAAUCAUUGAUCAAAGACUUAAUAUUUUCAGAAAUAUGAUUUUUUGGAAGUGGGCAUACAGUUUUCAGAUAUAUCUGUGGAUCAAGAGAGGAUCACAACUGGACCUGCUGUAGUGACUACUGCUCAUCACUUAGAGAUCAUGGGUUUGAGGGAUGGGUCUUGACUUUAUGGAAUUUUAGGGUUAUCUCCUUUUGGAAGGAAGGAAAUGUCUUUUGCCUUGAAAACAAAAAUGAACCAAGUUGAUAGGCAUAAAGUGGACUGUCUGGCAUUGAUGUUGUUCACUAAAUAUUUCUGUCUCUCUUCA